UGGGGAAUAUUGGACAAUGGGGGGAACCCUGAUCCAGCCAUGCCGCGUGUGUGAAGAAGGCCUUAUGGUUGUAAAGCACUUUAAGCGAGGAGGAGGCUACUAGUACUAAUACUACUGGAUAGUGGACGUUACUCGCAGAAUAAGCACCGGCUAACUCUGUGCCAGCAGCCGCGGUAAUACAGAGGGUGCGAGCGUUAAUCGGAUUUACUGGGCGUAAAGCGUGCGUAGGCGGCUGAUUAAGUCGGAUGUGAAAUCCCUGAGCUUAACUUAGGAAUUGCAUUCGAUACUGGUCAGCUAGAGUAUGGGAGAGGAUGGUAGAAUUCCAGGUGUAGCGGUGAAAUGCGUAGAGAUCUGGAGGAAUACCGAUGGCGAAGGCAGCCAUCUGGCCUAAUACUGACGCUGAGGUACGAAAGCAUGGGGAGCAAACAGG
rnacentral:rRNA from 1 species